GGCAAUAAUUACAUGAGCUGGCUCAGUUAUGUGGAAACUGAUCUCAUCUCAUUUGAAAAGGCAAGAAAAGGUGACGGUUGUACACCAAGUAAAGCAACUCAGAGGAAGGGAGGGAUGCAGAUUGGGGCCCGCAGCACAGGAGAGAGGCGCAAGGCCGACCUCACCUGCGCUCUCCAGAGCCACCCCCUCCUCCUCCUCUCUCAUGUCUCCGGCCAUCAAUCAAGUCACACAGAGAUGGACAGAGCAGUCCUUUUGUAGCCGAGCCGAGAGCCAUGCUUCUCCUAAACUGUUGGUUCCCAGAUUCUUAAAAGAUUUUGGUGGCUCUGGAGAAAAAGAAGCCUCAGCAUCAGCACCACACAGAUCAUCUGAGUCCUAGAGCCCAACCAGCCUUGGAGGCCACAUGGUACGAAACAGCAGCCAGACACCAAGGUACUUGGUACCAAGACAAUACUCCUGAUCUCCAUCAUGAACCAAUCUAUGCCUUAUGGGUGAGCUCCCAUGAACCCGAGGAGGAACCACGGAUGUGAGCUGGCUCGUGCACCUUGUCCAUUCCCUGCCUGAGAGGCCUCUUCUGAGUGCCCAGGUGAGGCUGCACAAGCCUCUGGGGUACUUCCUUCACAUUCCUUUCCCUUUUCAAUAUCUACAGGCAUUUAUGCUCCAGGCAUCUGUAAUCCCAAUGCUUUGGGUGGCUGAGGCAGGAGGAUCACUUGAGGCUAGGAGUUUGAGACCACCCUGGGCAACAUAGUGAGAACUUGUCUCUACUAAAAAAAAAAAAAAAAAAUGUAGCUGGGAGUGGUGGUGUGCACCUUUAGUCCCAGCUAUCUGGGAGGCUGAGACAAGAGAAUCGCUUGAGCCUGGGAGGUCAAUGCUGCAGUAAGCCGUGAUUCCACCACUGCACUCCAACCUAGGUGACAGAGUGAGAUCCUAUCUAUGUCAAAACAAAGCCAAAAAGCCUUUAUACAUCUCUUGGUUUUCAAAUGAACGCUUAUAUAAAAGCCUGCUGUAUAAAGCAGAUCUAAGUAGACCUGCCCAGUUUAUGCACAGAUCAGUGAGGGACAGAGCGGGGAACCGGGUGGCUGGGAGGAAAACAUGGGCACGUGCACCUUCAGUCCUAGCUGCUGUCCGGGCUGGUGAAGGAUAAGGCGAGGCUGAGACUCUCAGACUCCGAAUACAAACAGUAUCAUCCGGUUUCUGAUUUGUUAGGGUGAAAAGGGAGAAAUACAAUGUGACCAGUCUAUUCUGGGCCCACAAUGUAUUAGCAAUUACCUCCCAACCACCACCCUGCAACAUAGUAUUCAGAUUAAAUUUCCCUGGGAGAACAGACUGCAAGGCAUGGAAAGCACCUUUUACAAAAUUAGGGACCUGUGGAUUUCCAGAAGCUAAAAAUGAUAACGGGCUUUUAUUAGGAACCCAACAGGGGGCCAUAACCACUCCUAAAAAACCUUAUUAGAUGCAGCCCACACAGGCAUUCUGCAAGGAGAUCUCCGUCCCCAGGGCAUAUUCCUUUCCCAGGAGUGGAGUGGACGGUGCUAGGACCCAACAGCACACAUGUGCAAAGUGUUUGGCCAGUGUUCUGGAACGCAGCCUGUGGCUCUUCAAUAAAACUUUCCUCAGAGCAAACAAGCAGGCUCUAGAGGUAAUCACACAUAGUCUCUUAUUCCCAUUAGCAACCCCAAACAAGCAAGUGGCCUUACCCAAAUAGUAGAGAAGCCUAGGUUAUUUUUAAAUCUGCUCAGUUGAGUGUGUUUCAGAAUUUGUGAUUUCCUAACAACAAAAAGCUUGGUACCACUGUUGAAAUGACAGGAGAAUUCCGAAGCAGGCGGAGCAAGGAGAGAGAGAGGCAACCUAGGGCAAGGCUCGCAUUACAGAUGAAGGCAAAGAAGGAAGCCCUAUGUAGAGGAGACUCUUUCUGUCUUUGGAAAGUCUGAUGAAAAUCGGGUCUAGAAAACCAGCUAUGACUUUGGAGAUGAACAGAGGAAUGCAUUAGGCGGCUUUUCUCUCAACGUAUUUGGCUUCCUGUAUAUUUAAAAAUAAAUGUCUUCCAAACUAGCUUCGAGGACUGCAUCCACGAAAGCAGCCUGGCUGCAAAGCCCAGGAGGUCGCAGCAAGUCAGGGAGGUGGAGGCCUCUUGGUUUUCCAUCAUAUUUCUCUGGAGGCUUCAGGUGCUCCAGGAGGGCACCGCCUGCUGAGUCGGUUCAAGUCAACACGACACAGCUGGAAACCCCACAGCCUGGGCAGUUGAGCCGCCGCUGUGUGGUGGGAACACUGCACCCCCUCUGAGCUCCCGCCACCCAGCCUUCCCAAGCCACGCUGCCACCCUCCUGCAGACCUGGGUGAAGAGGGGCAAGAGGCUGUCCUACAGAGAUGCUGAGGGUGACAGCUGCAGAAUCACCAAACCUUGCUUGGCUGAAAACAAACGUGAAUUCCACAUUUUAAUAAAACAGAAAUUUUAAUCUUCUGGACACCUGAUGAUACAAGUCAACCUAUUUCUUCUGAAUCGCAUCUGAAACCAGGAGUUAUCACAUAUUUCAAGAUAAAACCGGACCGGGCUUUAAAUGUAUGAUAUUAUUUCAUAAUAAAAUUUACUUUUUAAUAUACCUAAUAACUGAAAACCUAAUGCUACAGUCCGCCAUGCUUUAAAGAGACUCACGUAAUGACCUGAAGGAAAAUUUCCCUCUGAGAUAGUCAUUUCUUGGACAACUCCUUUCAUCUGUAAAGGAGGAAAUGAGUCAGCUUUACUAAGCGUUAUCUCAUGAUUGGUGUUUUGUUAUUCAGUAGGCAGAGAACACAUUUUGUUACCUAUAAAGCCUGUUAUUACCAAGGGUACAGGUCACUACUGAAACCUCCUCUUCAAACAACUACAGGUACUGUUGUCAAAGAUCUUAACAGACUCUGAUUGGAAAAGCGCCUGGCUGGUCACAGGACUGCAUGACUCACCGCUCUGUUCAGCAUUAGCUAAACACAAAGCUGAAAGAACAGAAUCAGCUUCAUGAUGUCAUUUCUUCUCUAUGUGUCUUUAACAUCGCUGAGAUAUGUUAGAGGUUGUUGAGUAAUACACGAAGCUUUCAAAUAAGAAGAAUGUGUCUGAGAUACUUAGAGUAAGAACACAUUUCAGGGUUAUGUUUGAAUAUAAACAUAAUACAUGCUCCAGGAAUUCAGGGUUUGUGUUAUUUGUUGAUACAAAGUGUUCCGCAAGGUUUUAGAGCAUAUACACUAAUCACCUAGGUUGGUUAAAGUUUAACUCAACUGAAAUAUUUUGGACUUAAAGAACCACUUAAGAUAUCAAGUUCUCAGAACUGAUUGAAAAGAAAGAGCUCUCAUCUACAGUUACCUGAAACAUACCAAAAAUUUCCCUGCAAAGAUCAUAAAUGUUUCAGAAUCAAGGAGAAAUAUGAAUACUGUUUCCAUAUAGGUGGUGGGAUACAUUAGUACCUUUCUCUCUUCUUUCUAUUCUUUACAUAUAUUUAAGGAGCAGCCAUUGCUUUUCUAGUUUAAAAAAAAAGUAGAAAAAAAAGUUUUUCGUUUUUCUCAGUUAGCUCUCUAUGGUGAAAAACUCAAAAGCCAAAAUGAUGGACUCAGUAAGUUGACAGCCACCUUAAAUCUGUGUUGACACCUUUCUUUGUAAUGUCAGCAAAACUGUGUGACUGAAGAUGAGAUCACUGUUUACCUAGCUCUGCUAUUGGUCUGAAACGAGCAAGUGUGAAAGAAAUUCCCAUAUUUAUCUGUUGGUGUAACCCUUGCAGCAAUCUCUCCUAAGAAGUUGAAUCACUCAUUUUGGUAAGACCCAGCCAAAGAUGAAGAAAGUAUAUUUAAUCCAGCUGAUGAGACGACUUACUUGGGCCAGAUUUAGUUGGAAAGUUGCAUGCUGGGGCAGGCCUUGCCUGUUUGCUUCUGGGAGGCCUUAAGAAAAUAUAGAAGAUGUGUCAGACUCAAAAGAGGAAGUUAAGAGUCUGAAAUGAGAUGCCACAUUCCCCUUCCUUACUCCUAAGUAAUAUAGCUUGUUUGUUAAGAAACUUGCUUCUAUACACAUUGUCCAACUUGUUCUGUGAAAGUUGUAGCGUUCAAAUAAUGGGUAAUUUGUCACUAAGUUGUACUUUCAUGGAAAUAUCACUUGAGCAAUAACUUUCUAAUCUUUUUUUUUUGGAGACAGGAUCUCACUCUGUCACCCGGACUGGAGUACAGCGGCACCAUCUUGGCUUACUGCAGCCGUGACCUUCUGGGCUCUGGCAAUACUCCCACCUCAGCCUCCCUAGGAGCUGGGGCUACAGGCACAUGCCACCACGCCCAGCUAAUUUUUGUAGAGAUGGGGUCUCACCAACUUUCCAGGGCUGAUCUGGAACUUCUGAGCUCAAGUGAUCCACCCACCCUGGCCUCCCAAAGUGCUGGUAUUACAGGCAUCAGCCACCACGCCCCGCCAAGCAAGAACUUUUGCCCUCUCAGUCCUCCACGAUCAGACGGAGUUCUGAGUCACUUUUAUGCCCCCUUCACACAACUUCACGCCGACUGUUUUUCCUCGAGAUACAGCCUCUGCUCCGUGCCCUGACUCAAUGCCAGCUCCUAACUUGCAGUUGUGUUCCUUGCUGUGACAUCCUAUAUGCUGAAUGUCCAUGGAGAAGUGUGGCUCACUUUAACCCGACUAAUUUCUAAAAAAUAAGUCAUCACAACCAAAGAUGGGCAUCAUGUUAAAAGACAGCUUUCAACACAAUCCAUGUAGCCCUGAGGGUAAUACAAGGUACACCAGGUACCAGGUAUACCAGGUGUUUCCCAUGUGUGCUUCCAGACAGAUUCCAACAGUCAGUCAUGACCAGACAAAUAUGUUUCCGAUAAGGACAUAGGCUUGAGAUCACUCUGAAAAGCAAGGAAAGUUGUACCACAGCAUGUUUAUAUCAACUGAUCUUGGACUUGGGACAGUUUAAAAGAGAUGAAAACAACAGAGUAACUUCAUUUUUUCUUGCAACUCAUUCAAAAUGUAUGAAUUUUGCAACUUUUUUUUUUUUUUUUUUUUGAGACGGAGUCUCACUCUGUCGCCCAGGUUGGAGUGCAGCGGUCUUAUCUCGGCUCACUGCAAGCUCCGCCUCCCGGUUGACAUCAUUCUCCUGCCUCAGCCUCCCAAGUAGCAGGGACUACAGGCACCUGCCACCAUGCCUGGCUAAUUUUUUUGUAUUUUUAGUAGAGUUGGGGUUUCACCAUGUUAGCCAGGAUGGUCUGCAGAAUUAUUUUUAUGCAGAAUUUUAUAUAGGCUACAAAAGGCCUUCGCAGGAUUAGAGGCAUUCCUCCUCUCUAGCUGCCCAAUCAGUCUUGGUCACCCCAGCCCCUCUCUCUGCUGCCCCCCACUUCACCCCGUCAAUGGCGAGUCCCUUUCUUACUCCUCCAAGGUCCACUGUGUGCACAAAGCAUCUUCCCAUAUUCAGAUCUGUUUCCAGUCAAACAGGUGACAAAUUCAUUCCAAUGAAAUUAUCUGUGACCGUUCACCUCUCCCACAUGCACCAACGUCUUAAGCCAGAGAAGCAAUACUUGUUUGACUUGAGUGAGUAAUAAAUGAUCAUUAUAAAUGGAAGAGAGAGGGUCUUCCCGCAGCCCUAGAAGUUUAAACACAGAAUUUUCCAGCUGCUUCUGCCACUUGAAUGCCAUGUAUAUAUAUUUUGCUGAAUAAAAACCAGGCCAAUUAUUUUUUCAGAUUAGUAAUUUUACCUAUAUAUGAAAUGCCUUACAAAUGUGUAACAUUUAAAUUGCAGGUACUAUACAUUCAAUUUUCUUUCAUCAAGUGGUGUAAACUCACUAAAAAUCAGUAUUAUCGUAGAAAACACAAAAGUCCUAGUAGGCAUCCCAAUCAGUAAAAGGGAUGGCCAUGAAAAGGGGAUGUGGUCAUAAAAUCAGCAACAGAAUUUUCCUGGCUUUAUUGUCCCUCAGUGAAGCUACGCUGCAAACCACUGUCACUGACGUAUGCUCCCCUGUUUCAAAGCAAACUUCAAUCUCCUCCAUAACCAUGCCCAGAAAAAACUUUUCUGUAAUGAAUGGUAUACUUUUGUAAUUUAAUACAAUUACAUUUAUAUUUUAAAAUAUUCAAUAUCUCAUUUUUUGUUGAUAUUUUAUGUCACAUUCGCAAAGCAUUUGGCACACCUACUAUAAGAGUGAGUGAAAAUUUUUUUUAAAAAAAAGGAAGGGAGGGAGGAAGGAAGGGAAGGGAAGGGGAAGGGGAAGGGGGAGGGGAGGGGGGAAGGGGGAGGGGAGGGGAGGGGAGGGAGAGAAGGAAGGCAGCAAUCUUCCAAAGAAGUAAAAAGAGAUAUUAACCCCUACUGGUAAUGCUAAUUGACACAUUCUCCAAAAACUGAAUUAGCAUAAAAGUCACUGCCAAAAAAGCUACUGAUAUGAUUCAGUUCAUUUUUACUUAUUAGAAAAUGGGUUGAAUCAGAGUGAAAUCACCUCAAAUGUCCAUGGCAACUCUGAGUCAGGCUGCUUCAUGCUUUUAUCAUUGUCUCAUUUAGUAUGAAACAGAGAACAGUUAUAUAUAUAUAUAUCUAUACAUGUGUGUAUAGAUAUAUAAACUAUAUAUAGCUACAUAUAGAGUUAUAAAUAUAGUGUAUGUGUGUAUAUAUAGAGAGAGAGAAAGAAGUAGGCUUUUUAUAAACUAUCUUAAGCUAAAAAUAGAAGUAUAACGCUAUUCUAUGUUUGAAGAAAGACCAUUCUGUCAUGCCGUGACACUAGUUAAAUAUUGUGCAAUUAUUUUUUCAGUGAAUUUGAGACAUCUGAUGAUUAUUGAUCUCCUUCCAAAUGUCUCAACAUCAACAUCCAACAAAGCUGCUGAAAGGCAGUAAUCCAAUUUCAGAGCCUCGUAGAAGGCUGACUUCUAUCUGGUCAUCCCAUUCUUAAAUCACAGCAGUGGAUUCUGGACAAGACUGUAGGUUUCUUGUCUUUUGAAGCACAUGGAUCCCAUAUAUCAAAGGCCCGUAAGUUUUCUAUCAGUUAGAGCCCAGGCUGAAAUAAUAAGCAAAUUAGGGAACAAUUAGUGUCUUCAGGUAUCUACACAGUAGUAUAUGUGUGCAAUUUCAUGUUCCAAGGACACGAUCAGAAUUUGUGAAUCACUCACAAGUUACAAAAAGUCAAAUCACAAAAGGUAUGCUUUGCUCUGCCUUGCUUGCUUACGAAAUCAUAGUCUCUUAGAAGGAUUACAAAUAUUGAUAUUAACCCACACAGUAUGUGAGGUAGACUUAUCAGAGCACCAAUGACAUCUAUGAAACAGACACACUUAUCACAGGCAUGAGACUGCCUUUAAACAUUAUUAGCUGAUGUUGAAGAUAACACUCUCACUGUGUCCCAUUUCUAACUGAUUUUUUAAAAAGGAAAAUGUAUUUGAUAUUUAAUCAUUCCUAAUGACUACAUCUAGUUAGGUUACCAUCACAUUGCUGAAGAAUUUUAAUACUUGCUGGUGUCUUAAAACAAUUUAAUAUUCCAUGCUUAAGGUGUAGCUCUAAACUUCAGAUUCUUUGUUGUCUGAGGAAUUAACUCUUAAAAAGAAGAAAAUAGGCCGGGUGCGGUGGCUCACACCUCUAUCCCAGCACUUUGGGAGACCAAAGCAGGCAGAUCAUGAGGUCAUAAGAUCGAGACCAUCCUGGCCAACAUGGUGAAACCCCAUCUCUAGUAAAAACACACACACACACACACACAAAAUAACUGGGUAUGGUGGCGUGUACCUGUAAUACCAGCUACUCGGGAGGCUGAGUCACGAGAAUUGCUUGAACCCAGGAAGCGGAGGUUGCAGUGAGCCAAAAUUGCACCACUGCACUCCAGCCUCCAACACAGUGAGACUCCAUCUCAAAAAAAAAAAAAAAAAAGAAGAAGAAAAUAAAGUUAUAGUCUAUUUGUGCAGCCCACUCAAUCAAAGAUGCAAAUUUAUGGUGAGAUAAAUAUUCUUAAGCAAAUUAUAACACAAUAUUUAAAUAUACUUAAUAAUUAAAAGCUGGGAUAAAAUGAUAAAGGGAAGAAUCUGCUUCGAUGUAUCCUGUCCAUGCAUUCAGGUUCUUUGGAAAAUCGGUGUUUCUGAUAUAGGAGAUAAUAAUUCUCUGUGUGGAUUUACAGAAAGGAAAAGCCCCAGUUCUUUCAAGUUAUGGUCAUACUUGUCUGAUCCAAAUUAGGUUAAAAAUCUUCUUUAGAUAGAAAAAGUUAGGUGAGUAGGUAAAGCAUAUCCCUUAAGCAUUAUUUGAUGAGGAAAUAGACUGAAAAGGAUAAAUACUAGCCAUAGCAUUUACUGAAUCCAAAAGCCACAUUGAUUAGCACAGGCUCAUAGCACCAACAAAAUCAUGUAACCUGGAGAGAAGAAGACAUUUCGAUAAUGAUGAAAAUAUGAUUUAAAAAUUUCUGGAUGACUAAUGUUUAUAAGAACAACCGGAAUCUCCACUGAAAUAUUACCAAAGGCAGAUUGACAGGGAGAAAAACUUGCAUAAUGGUCACACACAGUGUUGAAGACAUCAUCCCAAAUACACUUCUUUCAGGGUUUAAGAGUUUCUAAUUUCCAAUGAACAGUGGCAUUGAUAAUCCAACCCUUCGUCCACUAGCAGUUACAGUCAUUGGUUAUGUGGCACAUCCAAAAGAACCUCAACAACCCCAGCAACUCAGCAUCCAUGGCUAGCUCAACAGCAGAACAAAUGAAUAGCCUAGAGAGUUGACUAUUCUUCUGAGCGUUUCAUUAACUCAGAUAUGUCUUAGGAGAUAAAAGAAGAAAGAAAAGUCUACAACUAAGUAACUCUCAAGGGACUGAUCCGACAAUAAAGUGCUUUAAAAUUUCCGAGUAAAGCAGUUAUUACACUAUUACAAACUUAAUAAAUCUGCCUAAUGUACUGAAUAGUUCUGCCUUAAAAAGUCACCAAAGAAGCAACAAGAAAAUGAAUUAUCUUUAAAAUGGCAUCAAACAUAUUUUCCGACAUCCAGGAAGAUCAUGCAGCUUCAAUCCAGUGGCCAUUUUGGUUGAAAAUAUUGACAAAUAAUUCUGUAUGAAAGCCACUCUAACGAGAUAAUGUUUGCAAACAAAAAUUAAAAUACAGCUUCUGUAUCAUCUGUCACCCAGGCUGGAGUGCAGUGGUGCGAUCUGAGCUCAAUACAGCCUCAACUUCCCAGACUUAUGUGAUGCUUCCUCCUUAGCCUCCUGAGUAGCUGAGACCACAGUCGCAAACCACCACAUCCAACUAAAAAGUAAUUGUGGUUUUCUCCAUUGAAAGUAAUGGUGAAAACCACAAUUACUUUUGCACCAACCUACUAAUUAUUUUUUGUUUGUUUGUUUCAUUUUGUUUUGUUUUGCAGAGACAGGUUUUGCCAUGUUGCCCAGGCUGGUCUCAAACUCCUGGGCUCAAGUGAUCCAUUUGCCGCAGUCUCCCAAAAUGCUGGGAUAACAGGUAUAAGCCACUAUGCCUGGCAGUCUUUUGCAGGCACACUAAGCAUCAUGAAUAUAAUCACCGCCAAGACACAGUUCCUACAUCAUGGACUUUCUAUGAGUGUAGGGCCUACAAACAACGGCCUUAGGACAAUUCUAGCCUGCUGCCUGUUUUUGUGUGACUGUGAUCAAAGAAUGAGUUAAAAAAAUCAAAAGAGGGAUGCUAUUUUAAUGGCAUAAACAUUAUAUAAAAUUCAAAUUUCUGUGUGUAGAAAUAAAGUUUUGUUGAAAAAUAGCCUCAUUUGGUUUACAUAUUGCCCAUGGAACUUUCUGCUAUAAUGGCAAGGUUGAGUACUUUCAACAGAGACUUUAUGGUCCACAAAGCCAAAAAUAUUUACUAUCUAGCACUUUGCAGAAGAAGGGUGGUGACCCCCUGGAAAGGUUGAAGAGAUAGUUAUGUAAGUGAUAAGUACAGUUGAUAACUCUCCACUGUUACUGCAGCAAAGACCAACUAGUAAGAAUUCUACAAAAUUUUACUUUAGCCUCACAAAACUAAAAGAUUAUGGCAUGCCUGUAUAUUUUCAGAAAAUGCCUGACUUUUACUAAUUCAAACAGAUGGUUUUCACUAUUCCUAAAUAGCAAGGAGCCAUCACUCAAAUCACAUGAUUGACUAUAGAUCCAUCUCUAUUAAGUCAUCUUUGAGGUGACCCAACAGUGUUCUUUAUGUUACCCAGUGGUUUGAUGAUUGACCAGAAAAUAUGCAACUGGAAUCAACAAAUAGAUAUAUUAAAACUAAACUAAAUAUCAUCAUGGCUACAUAGCGUUGCAUACAAUUGACUGUAACAACAUAGAUAUUAAAUGAUAAAAACAUAUAGAGUUCAUUAAGAAGAAUAAAUUAUUGAUUAUAGGGCCAGGCGUGGUGGCUCACACCUG
rnacentral:lncRNA from 10 species